rnacentral:rRNA from 1 species
AUGCUAGUAAUAAUCGUUGUGUACAAUGGCGCCAUACAUUGUGGAGCAAGGCCAGAACUCUGUUUCUUCAUCUACAUUUGCACAGAUGAGCAAUUAUUAUCUUCUUGCCUUUUUCAGGUAUUUGGCAAUAUUGGCUCUUGGGCUGCCCAAUUGAUCACUGAAGCUGGUGGCAAGGUGGUCUCCAUCAGAGAUGUCACAGGGGCUGUCAAGAACUCUAAUGGCAUUGACAUAGCCAAGCUGAUGAAGCACUCGGCAGAGAACCGCGGGAUCAAGGGCUUUGACGGAGGCGACGUCGUCGACCCGACCUCGCUGCUCACGGAAGAGUGCGACGUGCUCAUCCCGGCAGCUCUGGGAGGAGUCAUAAACAAGGACAAUGCUGAUGCCAUCAAAGCAAAGUACAUCAUUGAGGCUGUUAACCACCCAACAGACCCCGAGGCCGACGAGAUUCUGGCAAAGAAGGGCAUGCUGAUCCUACCGGACAUCAUGGCCAACUCCGGCGGAGUGAUGGUGAGCUGCUUCGAGUGGGCUACUGGGCGUCCAAGAGGCACUUGA